rnacentral:rRNA from 1 species
CUACCCGGGUUUCUAAUCCUGUUUGCUCCCCACGCUUUCGCGCCUGAGCGUCAGUACCGAGCCAGAUGGCCGCCUUCGCCACCGGUGUUCUUCCUAAUAUCUACGAAUUUCACCUCUACACUAGGAAUUCCGCCAUCCUCUCUCGGACUCGAGCAAUCCCGUUUCAAAGGCAAUUCCGGAGUUGAGCCCCGGGCUUUCACCUCUGACAAAGAUCACCGCCUACGCGCGCUUUACGCCCAGUAAUUCCGAACAACGCUAGCCCCCUUCGUAUUACCGCGGCUGCUGGCAC